CACGAACGCUGGCGGCGUGCUUAACACAUGCAAGUCGAACGGAAAGGCCCCUUUGGGGGUACUCGAGUGGCGAACGGGUGAGUAACACGUGAGUAACCUGCCCUUGACUUCGGGAUAACUUCAGUAAACUGGGGCUAAUACCGGCUAGGAAUCCUUGCUGCAUGGUGGGGGUUGGAAAGCUUCUGCGGUUUUGGGUGGACUCGCGGCUUAGCAGCCUGUUGGUGGGGGAGUGGCUUACCAAGGCUUUGACUGGUAGGUGGCCGGAGAGGGCGACCGGCCAAAAUGGGACUGGGAAACGGCCCAGACCCCCACGGGAGGCAGCAGUGGGGAAUAUUGCACAAUGGGCGGAAGCCUGAUGCAGCAACGGCGCGGGCGGGAUGAAGGCCUUCGGGUUGGAAACCGCUUUCAGCAGGGGCGAAGCUGGUGGUGACGGUACCUGCAGAAGAAGCACCGGCUAACUACGUG
rnacentral:rRNA from 1 species